UUAUUAUAAAACGCGGUAUCAAAUAAGUAUCGGCUUUUGUACUACCUUUAAUCCACCUUUAAGUACGACCUUGAAAAAACGUUAUUACAAAACGCAGUUUAUCGCAAGUCCUAUUACUAUCUGUAGUACAAAAGAUAAACCAUCGAGCCCCCUAGUUUAACUGCAGUACUUAGUCGACAAACGUCAAAUUCCGACAUUAUUUACUUUUGAGGUUAUUUGUUUUGUGAUGAAAAAAAACGAAAGUGGAUAUGAAUAUGUGUGAUUUGGAAUACUUGGAUGUGUUAGAAUACUAUUGAGAGUGUCCGGGGACCCAACAGAAUGCGUCAUCGACAAAAUCUCUUCAAAUUACCUGACGACAAUUUUCGAUAUAAAUAUCGAUUUACGUUUUUCGAAAUAAUAGUCAAUUGAAUGCAUGAUGAUAAUCCAGGAUGAUCCUAUGAUGCUCAACUGGGCUCGCCAUAAAAUUCAAGACUAUUUUGGCGUUUUGCACGCCGUAUCUCUGCCAGUAAUAUGCAAUGUUUGUAAAAGACUGGAAGCUUGCUAAAAUGUACAAAAAUGCCUAGAUGAGAAAGGGAACAAGAUUGUGUGAUGAAGAACAGUGUCCAACAUGUAUCAGUGCAUUUGACUGUAUAAAUACUUAGACAUCGGAAUAAAAUAUAAUUUUCUACUUUUAUGUUGUUUCAAAUGUUUCAUUUUCUUUUGGUAAUUUAAUGCACACGAUAUUCUGUGUGUAAGUUAUUGUGCACUUAGGCCCAUAGCACACGGCGUUUUUUAAACGCGCUGACGACGCGCAGAGAACGCGCGUAUACACGAUUCAAACGAGAUUGGAUCGCAACCUUGUAACUUAAGCACACGGGGCGAUUAUAAAACCUGCCUCUUCUGCGCGUAUACGCGCAGGUACAGCGGUAAGACGCGCUGUAGUCGCUCGUACCUUUUGCGUUUUGAUCAGAGACUCCUCUUCUUCAGUUGUACAAUGGCGUCGGUUGAGACAACACUGCUUACUUUGGCUUUAGUACUUCUUUUAAAAAGUAAAAAACGUAAAAAAAAGCGAAUUUAUUGGAUAGAUCCAUUUACGAGUGAAAAAAGAUUGAGUGGUCAUUAUCAUACAACUUUUAAAAAAUUGGUAAUACAUAGAAGAUGGAAGAAAUUUUAUAAUUGUUAUCGAAUGUCAUAUUCGUCAUUCCAAGAACUUCUUUUGAUUCUAAAACCUGAGUUAACUCGUCAAAAUACAGCAAUGAGAUCAUGUAUAUCGGCAGAAGAACGUUUGCUCAUCACAUUGAGGUAUUUAGCUACGGGUUGCUAUUUCUCAGAUAUUCACUAUGACUUUAAGUGUGGACAAACGACGGCAGGCAUCAUAGUCCGUGAAACAGUGAAAAUAAUAUGGGAUAAAUUAAAAAACAUCUGUAUGCCAGAACCAACCGAGGAAUCACAUCUAAAACUGCUGAAGGAUUUAUGAAAUACGCAAAUUUUCCCAAUCUACUUGGGGCUAUCGAUGGGAAACAUAUCAGAGUUAUAAAACCUCAACAUAGUGGAUCAGAGUAUUUUAAUUAUAAAAAAUAUUUUUCCAUCGUAUUGCUUGCAAUAUGUGACGCAAAUUACAGAUUUAUCGAUAUAGAUGUCGGAUGCUAUGGAAAGGCUGCAGACUCAACAAUAAAUGAAUGUAGUGAAUGGACCAAAAAGAUAAGGCAAGGAAAUUAUAAUAUACCAAAUGCGAGACCAAUAUCUAAUAAUGGAGUGCCAAUACCAUUUACGUUUGUUGGAGAUGAAGGCUUUGCAUUAUCUCAACAUUUACAGAGACCUUACGCUGGAAAAAUCUUGCCACGAGAGAAAAGAAUAUAUAAUUACCGCUUGACACGUGCCAGACGAUACAUUGAAUGUACAUUUGGUAUAUUAAGCAACAAAUUUAAAAUCUUUAAUCGGCCACUGAACGUUAGCGUGGACUUCAGUGUGGCUAUUGUGAAAGCCUGUUGUGUACUGCAUAAUUUCAUACGUGAACGUGACGGUUAUAAUUUUCAUAAUUCUUUGAGUAUAGUUGGUUUAGAAGAUCCUCCUGAAGAUGCAAGUUUGAUUUCGAUUGGUGCAAGACGGUCACAGGGACAAUUAAGCGGAACUAUGAUACGAAAUAUGUACGCUGAUUAUUUUAUUAGUGAUGAAGGUGCAGUACCAUGGCAAGAUUCUAAAA